GGAUUUGUAGCUCAGUAGCAAAGCACCUGCCUUGCAUGCAGAUGGUCCCAGGUUCAAUCCCUGCCAUCUCCA